GCUGAGAGUAUGUGCAAAGGUCCGUGGACGGACCGCAUUGCUUGUUGUUGCGCUUCGGAGGCGGAGAUCCCCGAAGGCGAGCUGAAAUACGGCUGGAGAGUUCCCAGGAUACAAUUUGCAGCAGACGAGUAUGGAAGACUACCAGCCGGAGUGGUGGCCCACCCUCAGGGAGCGCUUGUGCUCCGACGGCUUCUCAUUUCCCCAAUACCACAUUAAAUCAUCUCAUCUGAGGAGGAUCCACAGAGCUGUCUUCUGUGGUAAUCUGGAGAAACUGAACUACCUUCUGUUCACGUUAUCAUGACGCUGCCUGAGUAGUUGUCGACCUUGUUUUCACAUUAACUGGCUGUUUUGUUGUGGCUGCACUUCUGUUUCAUUACCUUCAUCAGAAUCAUAGCUUGGAGGCUUCAUAGCUCCCUGAUUCAAUUCUGUCCCAUAUUUCAACUUGUGGUAUUUGGCUCUUUUCUGUUUAAGAGCAUACUCCAACAUUCUGAUCAUCCUCACGAGAUCCUUCUUCAAAUUUUCUUGGCCCUUCCUUUCUCCCUGUAGGAAGGCAAUCUGGGCCGUAAUUGUUGAUGAGGUCUUGGAGCCUCCCUUCUGCUCCCAGAAGCUUUUGUUGCUCAUGUCUCCAGCCACAAUAUCCUUGCAGGACAGAGUCUUGGCUGCAGACUGAGCCUGUACCUCACCCGUCUCCCACCGACUCUUGGUACUGGCCACGGCCAUGCUGGGCAGCUCUAUGGAGGCCUGGCGGGCUAGCUUGGGUGUCCUGCCAGUGGUACUUUCACAGCUGGGGAGUGGAGCCUGGGCCUGAGGUCUCCUGUGCGACUCUCCGCACCUGCGCCGGUGCCAUGCGCCUCUCCGCGCCUUUUCUCACCAUGGGGCAGCAUUUCGGGGCCUCUUGAGGGACCCCUAGAUGCUUCUACUCAAAGCCCCCAAAGCCAAGGAGCCUCCACUCCUCCGUCUGCAGCCCCCCCUCCCGGUUCUCGCUACGCAGGGUUCAGUGGCCUUGGGGCUGACGGAGGAGGUUGCGUCUGCCAAGGCCCCUACCAGCGCCUCCCUGGCUCAUCCAGCCCACCUCCCUCCCACGCUGGCUCAAGCAAAGUGCUCUGGUCACCAGGAGCCCUUCCUGACCAGCCCCGGCCCCUUCUUGGCCUUCACCCCACCUGGCCUCCCCUGGAGGCCUAGCCUGGGUGCCGGGCCUGCUGGGUCCAGAGCCCACCCCGCCCUGAACAACCCCGAGCCCAUAUUUUCAAAUAUAAUCAGAUCAUAUACCUUCCUUGCUUAAAAAGGGCGAAACUCCAUCUUAAAAAAAAAAAGCCUCAACAUCUCUCUAUUAAAUAUAGGAUCUAAAGUCAAUCCCAUGGAACAAAUAAUCUUGAAAGGUUUCUAGACUGUCUUUUCGACUCACUUUGCUCUGUUUCAAAAAGGUUCACCAAGUCCCAAGAAAACAGAACAGCUUUCUGCUCAUUGAACCCAGAGAACCCAGUUUUACACUGAAGAUUUUAUUUAUUCUUCUCUCUGAUUGGAAGAAAGCUACUUUCUUUUACUCUUCAAAUAACAAGAUAGUUUUUCAUCCUUCACGUUAGGGCGUCUUUAACCAACUCCAAAUUUCUUUCUGUCUUUCAAACCUUACAGCUUUCAUAACACUUGAAACCAUUUUACUAACCUGCUCUUUAAAAUAGAGACAAUCACUGUUUUCUUUAUUUCUGGGUCUUUAAUAUCUAAAAGAGAUAUAGUAGAUAUGAUAAUAUGGUAGGGGACAAUGUAUAUGUAAUGAGUAUAUGAGUGAAAGAUAUUGUGCUUUAUUAUGAUAUAAGGAAUGGAUAGAUUUUACUAUAUUUUAAGCACAAAAAUGGGUCAGAUUUGGAAUUGUAUUCAACACUGAGGCAACAAUGUAGAAGAUGGCUUUUUAAUACCUAAUAUUCUGAUUUAAUUCACUGUCCGAAUGAAAAAUACCCUUAGAAGGUUUGACUAAAUACGUAAUUUCUUGACCAA
rnacentral:lncRNA from 1 species